rnacentral:rRNA from 1 species
AUUGAACGCUGGCGGCAUGCCUUACACAUGCAAGUCGAACGGUAACGCGGGGCAACCUGGCGACGAGUGGCGAACGGGUGAGUAACGCAUCGGAACGUGCCCAGUAGUGGGGGAUAGCCCGGCGAAAGCCGGAUUAAUACCGCAUACGACCUACGGGUGAAAGCGGGGGAUCGCAAGACCUCGCGCUAUUGGAGCGGCCGAUGUCAGAUUAGGUAGUUGGUGGGGUAAAGGCCUACCAAGCCUUCGAUCUGUAGCUGGUCUGAGAGGGCGACCAGCCACACUGGGACUGGGACACGGCCCAGACUCCUACGGGAGGCAGCAGUGGGGAAUUUUGGACAAUGGGCGCAAGCCUGAUCCAGCCAUGCCGCGUGCGGGAAGAAGGCCUUCGGGUUGUAAACCGCUUUUGUCAGGGAAGAAACGCUCUGGGUUAAUACCCUGGGGUAAUGACGGUACCUGAAGAAUAAGCACCGGCUAACUACGUGCCAGCAGCCGCCGUAAAAC